UGGGUGGAUCACCUGAGGUCAGGAGUUCGAGACCAGCCUGGCCAACAUGGUGAAACCCUGUCUGUACCAAAAAUACAAAAAAUUAGCCAGGUGUGGUGGCAGGCGCCUGUAAUCCCAGCUCCUCGGGAGGCUGAGGCAGGAGAAUCGCUUGAACCCGGAAGGCAGAGGUUGCAGUGAGCCAAGAUCACGCCACUGCACUCUAACCUGGGUGACACAGCGAGACUCCUUCUAAAAAAAGAAAAGGUGCAGCAAUGACUAGCCUUGUGCAUUCAUUUUUCUCCCCCCCAUCUUUAACACUUAUUUCUUUAACAGAAUUAUGGAGCGACUAUAAUUGAAGAUGGAAGUUUCGUGGGAAGGGAUAUUCAACAUAGUUAACAACCAAUAUGACCUGAUCACCAUCCAUUGGAAUAGCCAUAUGUCUAGGGCUGGAAUGGGGUUUUAGAAGCCUGAUAAAUCAGCAAUUCACACUUUAGCCAGGAAUCAGGGGGAGGUCAGAAACAUCCUAGGGAAAUGGGAAGGGCAAUGAAAGAACAUUUCAGAGGGUAUCAGAGAAUUUUACUAUUCUAACACCCAUUUAGUUAAACGUGUAUAAUAAUCAUCAGCCCAAUUUGUAUGUUUGCUAUUGAAAAGAUAAGGAUUAUAAUCUGAUUAUCUUGUCCUCUUGUGUCCAGAAUUGGUGGGUUCUUGGUCUCACUGACUUCAAGAAUGAAGCCUCGGACCCUCAUGGUGAGUGUUACAGCUCUUAAGAUGGCACGUCUGGAGUUUGUUCCUUCUGAUGUUUGGAUGUGUUGAGAGUUUCUUCCUCCUGGUGGGCUCGUGGUCUCGCUGGCUCAAGAGUGAAGCUGCAGACCUUCGCAGUGAGUGUUACAGCUCUUAAGGCAGUGUGUCUGGAGUUGUUCGUUCCUCCUGGUGGGCUCCUGGUCUUGCUGGCUUCAGGAGUGAAGCUGCAGACUUUCGUGGUGAGUGUUACAGCUCAUAAAAGCAGUGUGGACCCAAAGAGUGAGCAGUAGCAAGAUUUAUUGCAAACAGAAAAAAAAACAAAGCUUCUACAGUAUGUAAAGGAACCAGAGCAGGUUGUCACUGCUUGCUCGGGCAGCCUGCUUUUAUUCUCUUAUCUGGCCCCACCCACAUCCUGCUGAUUGGUCCAUUUUACAGAGAGCUGAGUGGUCUGUUUUGACAGGGUGCUGAUUGGUGCAUUUACAAUCCCUGAGCUAGACACAAAGUUUCUCCACCUCCCCACUAGAUUAGCUAGGUACAUCCACACAAAGGUUCUCCAAGUCCCCACCAGAGUAGCUAGAUACAGAGUGUCGAUUGGUGCAUUCGCAAACCCUGAGCUAGACACAGGGUGCUGAUUGGUGUGUUUACAAACCUUGAGCUAGAUACAGAGUGCCGAUUGGUGUAUUUACAAUCCCUGAGCUAGACAUAAAGGUUCUCCGCGUCCCCACCAGACUCAGGAGCCCAGCGGGCUUCAUCCAGUGGAUCCCGUACCCGGGUUGCAGGUGGAGCUGCUUGCCAGUCCCCCGCCGUGUGCCCGCACUCCUCAGCCCUUGGGUGGUCGAUGGGACUGGGAGCCGUGGAGUAGGG
rnacentral:lncRNA from 10 species